GACGAACGCUGGCGGCGCGCUUAACACAUGCAAGUCGUGCGGUGUCGAAGGCAAGUCUUACGACAAGCCUUCGACACAGCGGCGAACGGGUGAGUAACACGUGAGUAGCUGUCCUAAGGAGGGGGAUAACGCCUGGAAACGGGUGCUAACACCCCAUAUGCCUCGCAAGAGGUGAAAGUGUACUUGCUACAGCCUUAGGGUGUGCUCGCGGCCUAUCAGCUAGUUGGUGAGGUAACGGCUCACCAAGGCCAAGACGGGUAGCCGGCCUGAGAGGGUGUACGGCCACACUGGAAUUGAGAUACGGUCCAGACUCCUACGGGAGGCAGCAGUGGGGAAUCUUGGGCAAUGGGCGAAAGCCUGACCCAGCGACGCCGCGUUGGGGAUGAAGCCCUUCGGGGCGUAAACCCAUGUUGUAGGGGACGAAGAAAGUGACGGUACCCUACGAGAAAGCCCCGGCCAACUACGUGCCAGCAGCCGCGGUAAGAUAGCGUACU
rnacentral:rRNA from 1 species